rnacentral:rRNA from 1 species
GCGAAUGGCUCAUUAAAACAGUUAUGGUUUAUUUGACAAUCGAAUUUACAUGGAUAACCGUGGUAAUUCUAGAGCUAAUACAUGCUGGUGUGCCCGACUUCUCGGAAGGGCGGUAUUUAUUAGAUAACAAGCCAAUAUUCCUCUGGUCUAUUGUGGUGACUCAUAAUAACUGAUCGAAUCGCAAGGCCUAUGGCCGCGAUAAGUCAUUCAAGUUUCUGCCCCAUCAGCUUUCGAUGGUAGUGUAUUGGACUACCAUGGCGUUUACGGGUAACGGAGGAUUAGGGUUCGAUUCCGGAGAGGGAGCCUGAGAAACGGCUACCACAUCUAAGGAAGGCAGCAGGCGCGUAAACUACCCAAUCCUGAUUCAGGGAGGUAGUGACAAGAAAUAACGGACCGAGGCCCUCGGGCUUCGGGAUUGCAAUGAGCCGAAUUUACACCCCUUAGCGAGGAUCAAUUGGAGGGCAAGUCUGGUGCCAGCAGCCGCCGUAAUUCCAGCUCCAAUAGCGUAUAUUAAAGUUGUUGCAGUUAAAAAGCUCGUAGUUGGAUUUCUGGGAGGGUGCCAAUGUCGCCGACGUGCGUGCGCAGCGGCGCCCUCUCAUCCUUCUGUUAACGUCUCUCGGCAUUCACUUGCCCGGUGGCGGGCUCAGAUAUUUUACCUUGAGAAAAUUAGAGUGUUUCAGGCAGGCU